GAUGAACGCUGGCGGCGUGCCUAAUACAUGCAAGUCGAACGCGAGAGGAGGGAGCUUGCUCCCUCUGAUCGAGUGGCGGACGGGUGAGUAACACGUAGGCAACCUGCCCAUCAGCCGGGGAUAACUGCGGGAAACCGUGGCUAAUACCGGAUAAUCCUCUCCACCGCGGGGUGGGGAGUUGAAAGACGGUGUCGGCUGUCGCUGAUGGAUGGGCCUGCGGCGCAUUAGCUGGUUGGCGGGGUGACGGCCCACCAAGGCAACGAUGCGUAGCCGACCUGAGAGGGUGAUCGGCCACACUGGGACUGAGACACGGCCCAGGCUCCUACGGGAGGCAGCAGUAGGGAAUCUUCCGCAAUGGACGCAAGUCUGACGGAGCAACGCCGCGUGAGUGAAGAAGGGUUUCGGCUCGUAAAACUCUGUUGUUAAGGAAGAACGCCAGGUAGAGUAACUGCUACCUGUGUGACGGUACUUAACCAGAAAGCCACGGCUAACUACGUGCCAGCCGCCGCAGUAA
rnacentral:rRNA from 1 species